rnacentral:rRNA from 1 species
AUUGAACGCUGGCGGCAGGCCUAACACAUGCAAGUCGAACGGUAACAGGAAGCAGCUUGCUGCUUUGCUGACGAGUGGCGGACGGGUGAGUAAUGUCUGGGAAACUGCCCGUUGGAGGGGGAUAACUACUGGAAACGGUAGCUAAUACCGCAUAACGUCGCAAGACCAAAGAGGGGGACCUUAGGGCCUCUUGCCAUCGGAUGUGCCCAGAUGGGAUUAGCUAGUAGGUGGGGUAACGGCUCACCUAGGCGGCGAUCGCUAGCUGGUCGGAGAGGAGGACCGGCCACAUGGGAACGGAGACACGGUCCAGGCGCCUACGGGAGGCAGCAGUCGGGAAUAUGGGACAGUGGGGGGAAGCCUGAUACAGCGAGCGCGAGUGUAUGAAGAAGGCGUUGCGUUGGUGAAGUACUCCCUGGGGGGAGGAAGGGAGUUAAGCUAAGACCUAGCCUCAGUGACGGUACCCGUAGAAGAAGCACCGGCUAACUACGUG